AUACAGGUGACCGUAUCCUGAGCCCCGGGCAGAGGCAGGACCGAGCCGCAAUCUGAACAGAAAUCCAGGUCCGACUGAAAGCUGGAGCAAGUAUUGGCGAGGUCCAUGACAGACAUGCGGUCGGGUCUGAGGAGGGAGUUGGAAGUUUAUUAACAAAAGAGAGAAGAGUUCCUGUCCCAGAGGUCGUAACUAUUCUGUCCCAGGACCUAGGAGUAUAUAACCCGAACCCUCCUGCCACGCACGCCUCCUGCCUCUGCGACCAAGGAGCCGAAACGCCCGGAAUUCCCAGACAGCGUCGGGUACUAAAGGACUUGGAACCCUUUCCAGGGGCCGGUGAGAGGAGUUAACCAACUCCGUGGGCUAGAGCGCCAGCUCUGCGCCCGCGGCGGGGCAGCGAGAUAGAGCCGGCUAGAGCGUCAGGCUUUCGCGUUGACGAUUGGCUGUGACGUCAUAAUUAAUUGCGAACCGUGUCUCGGGAGCGUUAGAGAUGGAGACUAACGUCUUCCAAGGGAGAUUGCGUCUCCACUUUCACCCUGGUACUGAGAGGUUGAGCACAAAAUUGGUAACCAAUGCUGCGCUUCCAGCAGAUUUUCCCACCAGCACCCAAUCCUGGGAUAUUUAUUCUCUUUGUCUCACAUCCUACAGGAACGCAGUCGCGGGGUAUAUCCCCCUGAAAACCGUACGUUGCCAAAUAAUGAUUUCUUUGGAUUAGAGAACUACAACUCCCCUGGGUCCUGAGCCGGUAUUUCCCUUUUGCGGCUGCACCGUAGUUAAAAACAAAGCUAAGUGUUCUGGGACGUAUAGUUCUAGCGUUCCUUGGGUCCCGCUGGCGAGCGUGGGCUUUCUGCAGCUCGCAACCGGCCUCGUGCUUUGCGGACGGUUCACUGCGCUUGGAAAGGGAUUGGCCUGGGGUACAUCAUCUAAAGAUCCUAGGAUUGCUGCAGGUCAGCAGUCUCCACUGGAAAAAAAGAUCUUGCAUGUAUUUCAAGUCCUCUGAUGAAUCAUGUGAUCUACUAGACCCUGAAGAUACAGUGAAGAGCAAAAGAACACGGAUGAAAUGAGAAACAAAAACGAUGGAGAAAACCAAAAAAGGGGACACAUGGGAUCCAGGCAAUAGGAGAGCCAGCAUAAGAGAGAGGCAGAGGGAUGCCCAGGAUGAGGUGAAGACGAUCUUGGAAAUCAGCCCAGAUGUGCAUGCACCAGUCCACGUGUGGCAGGACCAAGGGAAGUGUCUUCACAAAGAUGAGGCUUUGAUUUGUUGGAGAAACUGUUACCAGAAAAACAGGUCCCGAUCCCGACCCCAAAAGAGUAUUCUUGGAUCUUGCACAGGAAGGAAUUAAAGGUCUAGCUCUGUCUCCUCAGCACAUGUUCUAGGCUCUGACUGCAAGUGCUGACUUGGGCUCCCAGCCCCACACAGACCCUCUGUUCCAUGAAAGGGCCAUCUAUGCAAAGUGCCCCCCAAAUGCCAAAGGAGCCAAUAAACCAAGGAACAAGACA
ensembl:lncRNA POLR1HASP POLR1H antisense, pseudogene